CUAGGGAUGGGCCUGGUGAUGGGGCUUUUUCAAGCUCACAGAUAAUUCUAAUGUAUAACCUGGGCUGAGACUCUGCUGUGAGUGCAGAAGAAAGAGCUGGCCAUAUUUAAGCGAAAUUGGGAAUUGCUGAACAUUGCAGAGAGAGACAGAGAGAGAGAGCCCAACCAGAUACCAAGAGGGAAGUAUCUCAGCGAAUCUGCCUCCAGCUAGUGACUGUUUUUUUACCUUCUUCUGUUCUUGGAGUUGUCCAUUUAUCUCCCACUUCCAGACCUGGAGCCUCGCCUCCUGUUUUUCAGACCCAAACUUCGCAUCAUCGUUGACAGCCCUGAGGACCCCUCCACCCAGCACUCCCCCAAGCAGAGUAGCUCCGAGGCACACUCAGAAGCAACUUGAGGCCCUCCCACGCCACUCCGGGGCAGCAGGAAGUGUGUGGAGAGCCUCAUGCCCUUUCUGCGUUGCUGCCACCAAGCCAGCAUUCCUACGCUCUGGCUGUCACAGCAUGCCAGCACCCCCGAUAGAUGGAGAAUGCAAGCAGGAGUCACAUCUGCUAGUUCACAGCUCUCUCCUUGGCUCCUACAACAGUGCCUGGCGUCUGGCUGGCCCCCAGAAAGAAGUUGAAGAGGAGAUGGUACCAUGUGAAGUCAUUGCUGCUGUCAAACCCAGAAGUGAUGGUGAAGGGGGACGCUGGAUAAUUGUCAGAGACUCAAGACAUUGGCACAGACCCUCUCUGCAUGAGCACAUGACACCACCAAUGGGAAAGAGCAGGAGUUCUGGGAAGAUAUCCAAGGGACCUGAGGGAAGCAAAGUUUCUUCAGACAGCUCAGAGUAGGCUGUGGCCUCCUGAACCUUCUGUCCCACAGUUGGUAAGUAGUGGUGUUAAUGCUCAUUCCAGACAGACAAGACCUUACCUCUCCCCACACCAGCCAUUCUGAAUCCAUCUGAGGUUUUCAUUUAUUUUUCACUUUGAACAAACAUUCUGUGCUAAAUGAACAGGUGCACAUGGGCUGUCUGGUUUGACCAUCACAAAAGGCCAAUGAACUUUCAACUAUAAGAUGAGUAAGGUCUGAGGAUCUAAUGUAUCAACUGUAGUUGAUAUCACUGUACUACUGUAUAAUUAAAAUUUGCCAAGAGAGGGAUCCCUGGGUGGCGCAGCAGUUUGGCACCUGCCUUUGGCCCGGGGCAUGAUCCUGGAGACCCGAGAUCGAGUCCUGAAUGGGGCUCCCUGCAUGGAACCUGCUUCUCCCUCUGCCUGUGUCUCUGCCUCUCUCUCUCUCUCUCUCUCUCUGUCUAUCAUGAAUAAAUGAAUAAAAUCUUUUUAAAAAAUUUGCCA
rnacentral:lncRNA from 12 species